rnacentral:rRNA from 1 species
GAUGAACGCUGACAGAAUGCUUAACACAUGCAAGUCUACUUGAAUUUGGGUUUUUUAACUUAGAUUUGGGUGGCGGACGGGUGAGUAACGCGUAAAGAACUUGCCUCACAGCUAGGGACAACAUUUGGAAACGAAUGCUAAUACCUGAUAUUAUGAUUAUAAGGCAUCCUAGAAUUAUGAAAGCUAUAUGCGCUGUGAGAGAGCUUUGCGUCCCAUUAGCUAGUUGGAGAGGUAACGGCUCACCAAGGCGAUGAUGGGUAGCCGGCCUGAGAGGGUGAGCGGCCACAAGGGGACUGAGACACGGCCCUUACUCCUACGGGAGGCAGCAGUGGGGAAUAUUGGACAAUGGACCAAGAGUCUGAUCCAGCAAUUCUGUGUGCACGAUGACGUUUUUCGGAAUGUAAAGUGCUUUCAGUUGGGAAGAAAAAAAUGACGGUACCAACAGAAGAAGUGACGGCUAAAUACGUG